UACGUAGGGUGCGAGCGUUAUUCGGAAUUACUGGGCGUAAAGCGUGCGCAGGCGGUUUUGUAAGCCAGAUGUGAAAUCCCCGGGCUUAACCUGGGAAUGGCAUUUGGGACUGCAAGGCUCGAGUGCGGUAGAGGAGACUGGAAUUCCUGGUGUAGCAGUGAAAUGCGUAGAUAUCAGGAGGAACACCGAUGGCGAAGGCAGGUCGCUGGGCUGACACUGACGCUCAUGCACGAAAGCGUGGGGAGCAAACAGG
rnacentral:rRNA from 1 species